CUGCUGCCUUCCGUAGGAGUUUGGACCGUGUCUCAGUUCCAAUGUGGGGACCUUCCUCUCAGAACCCCUACGCAUCGUCGGCUUGGUGGGCCGUUGCCCCACCAACUACCUAAUGCGCCGCAUGCCCAUCCGUGACCGGAGUCGCCCCCUUUGGCCGGAAAGGGAUGUCCCUUCCCGGCGUCAUGCUGUAUUAGGCGGGAUUUCUCCCGGUUAUCCAUCUGUCACGGCCAGGUUGCAUACGUGUUACUCACCCGUGCGCCGGUCGCCGG
rnacentral:rRNA from 1 species